UUUUCUGCAGUCAUAUACAGAAGAGUUGGUAGAUCUGCAUCGCAGGUUAAUGGCAUUAAGAGAACGCAAUGUGUUACAACAGAUUGUAAAUCUGAUUGAAGAAACAGGACAUUUCAAUGUUACAAACACAACUUUUGACUUUGACCUUUUCUCACUGGAUGAAACCACCGUCCGUAAGCUACAGAGUUACUUAGAAGCUACAGCCACAUGACAAGACUUGGGCUUUCAAUGCAGACUGUAGUAUUUUUAAAUAAGAACUAAGACAUUGGACUUCAAUCCCUGUAUGAUGGAAGGUGCAGCCUAGGAGAUGAGCGACAAUGUUACUGGAUAUUGAAAACUUUGUUUCAAAACUGAGGCUCAAUUUAAAACCAGCGCUGCAUGGGAUUAAGAAAGUCAUUGUGAAAGCGUAAAUUUUAUCACCAUUUAUCAAUUCCUGAAAGGAUAGCUAUUCUACUAGGUCAGGAGCAGAAAGAAAGGAAGAAUAGUGAGUGACUUUCUCCUCCAAGAGGUGUUCACCUCUACAUGCUACCAGAGGAACAAGAAAGAAAUGUUUUUAAAGAAACAUUUGAUGGGACUUUUGUUUUAGUUUUUAGUGAACGUUAAAUUUUACCUGAAGACAAUAGAAUUAAUGUAUAUAUUCUGCAAGAACAAAUGAGCUACAUCCCUGAUGUGAACCGAAGAAUUCUGUGGUUUCUAAUAAAAUGCCAAAUGAUACAGUUUUGCUGUGGAAAUAAAAUUCUGUAAAGUGCUAGACACAUUACUGAACUUGGUUUCACUAAUGUGGUCUCCGAAUCCAGUACAGAUCUAUUGCAUUGUAUAUUAUCUAAAGAAUAUAUAUUUUUGAACCCAUUGA